AUGCUUAACACAUGCAAGUCGAACGGAAACGAUGGUAGCUUGCUACCAGGCGUCGAGCGGCGGACGGGUGAGUAACGCGUGAGAAUCUGCCCAUUUGUGGGGGAUAACUCGGGGAAACUCGAGCUAAUACCGCAUAAUCCCUACGGGGGAAAGCAGGGGACCUUCGGGCCUUGUGCAGAUGGAUGAGCUCGCGUCGGAUUAGCUUGUUGGUGAGGUAAAGGCUCACCAAGGCGACGAUCCGUAGCUGGUCUGAGAGGAUGAUCAGCCACACCGGGACUGAGACACGGCCCGGACUCCUACGGGAGGCAGCAGUGGGGAAUCUUGGACAAUGGGGGCAACCCUGAUCCAGCCAUGCCGCGUGUGUGAAGAAGGCCUUCGGGUUGUAAAGCACUUUCAGUAGGGAGGAAGGCUUACCGCUAAUAACGGUGAGUACUUGACGUUACCUACAGAAGAAGCACCGGCUAAUUUCGUGCCAGCAGCCGCGGUAAUACGAAAGGUGCGAGCGUUAAUCGGAAUUACUGGGCGUAAAGCGCGCGUAGGCGGUUUGUUAAGUCAGAUGUGAAAGCCCCGGGCUCAACCUGGGAAUUGCAUUUGAAACUGGCAGGCUAGAGUGCAGUAGAGGGAGGUGGAAUUUCCGGUGUAGCGGUGAAAUGCGUAGAGAUCUGAAGGAACACCAGUGG
rnacentral:rRNA from 1 species